GAUGAACGCUGGCGGCGUGCCUAAUACAUGCGAGUCGAGCGAACAGACGAGGAGCUUGCUCCUCUGACGUUAGCGGCGGACGGGUGAGUAACACGUGGAUAACCUACCUAUAAGACUGGGAUAACUUCGGGAAACCGGAGCUAAUACCGGAUAAUAUAUUGAACCGCAUGGUUCAAUAGUGAAAGACGGUUUUGCUGUCACUUAUAGAUGGAUCCGCGCCGCAUUAGCUAGUUGGUAAGGUAAUGGCUUACCAAGGCAACGAUGCGUAGCCGACCUGAGAGGGGGAUCGGCCACACUGGAACGGAGACACGGUCCAGACUCCUACGGGAGGCAGCAGUAGGGAAUCUUCCGCAAUGGGCGAAAGCCUGACGGAGCAACGCCGCGGGAGUGAUGAAGGUCUUCGGAUCGUAAAACUCUGUUAUUAGGGAAGAACAAAUGUGUAAGUAACUAUGCACGUCUUGACGGUACCUAAUCAGAAAGCCACGGCUAACUACGUG
rnacentral:rRNA from 1 species